UACGUAGGGGGCAAGCGUUGUCCGGAAUCAUUGGGCGUAAAGCGCGCGUAGGCGGCCCGGUAAGUCCGCUCUGAAAGUCCAGGGCUCAACCCUGGAAAGCGGGUGGAUACUGCCGGGCUAGAAUCCGGAAGAGGCGAGUGGAAUUCCUGGUGUAGCGGUGGAAUGCGCAGAUAUCAGGAGGAACACCUGUGGCGAAAGCGGCUCACUGGACCAUAACUGACGCUGAUGCACGAAAGCGUGGGGAGCAAACAGG
rnacentral:rRNA from 1 species